CUCAGGAUUAACUUGUCAAGCAUCCUUUUUCUUAGAGCUGGGGAAAGGACUUGGUCAGGCCUCUCUUAAGAGAAGGUGGUGUGAAGUCAACAUUGAAGAUGUUGCUGCUUCUGCUACUUCUGGGGCCUGGCUAUGGGCUUGGAGCUCUCGUCCACCAAUCUCCCAGAAGGACCAUCUGUAAGAGUAGAACUUCCCUGAGAAUGGAGUGUCACACUGAGGGUGUUCAGGCCACUUCUGUAGCCUGGUAUCGUCAAUUGCCUCAAGAGACCUUUGACCUGAUAGCACUUUCUACUGUGAACUCUGCAAUCAAAUAUGAAAAAAAUUUUACCAAAGAGAAGUUUUCCAUCAGUCAUCCAAAUUUAUCCUUUUCAUCUAUGACAAUUUUAAAUGCACAUCCUGAUGACGGAGGCUUAUAUUUCUGUGGUGCUAGGGACACAGCGCUGGGCAGGAACAAGACACUUCAGCAAGAACCUUUGCAACAGAUUUCCUUCCUCAGCACACAGAAACUGUAAUAGGUGUAAGGGAAUAAAAACCACAGCUC